rnacentral:rRNA from 1 species
UACGAAGGGGGCGAGCGUUGUUCGGAAUUACUGGGCGUAAAGGGCGCGCAGGCGGUCGUGCAAGACAGAUGUGAAAUCCCCGGGCUUAACCUGGGAAUUGCAUUUGUGACUGCACGGCUAGAGUGUGUCAGAGGGGGGUAGAAUUCCACGUGUAGCAGUGAAAUGCGUAGAUAUGUGGAGGAAUACCGAUGGCGAAGGCAGCCCCCUGGGAUAACACUGACGCUCAUGCACGAAAGCGUGGGGAGCAAACAGG